GGUCCCAUAUGUUUAUAUACGGCAUAUAUUGGAAAUGGAGCAUCCUCCAGGACUGUAGACUGGAGCCCUGAUAAGUGCUCUCAUGAUGUAGUCAGCCUACCCCCUGCAUAGGGAAUGCAUAGUCCCGCAUGGCAAACUGAGGCCAAUGUUCUUCCUGAUCCAGCUGGCCCCCUAACUCCGUAGCUCCAUUUGAGCCGACCCAUUAGGGUAAGUCCCAGGUUGAGACGGUGUGCUGGUGAUGUGACGGCUUGCAUGGUUAUGCCGACGAUAGAACUGCCUCAGGGGCUUCCUUGGAAACCGAGGGGAAAGGAGAGCGUUGGGGGGUGGCACAGGUCUUUGGCUCAGCUUUGGGCUCUCUCCAGACCCUCUCUGUGGUGCCGCUGGAGCUUGCAGUCGCCUAGGUAAGUCAGUGGUUGGCAGUUCCAAUGUGGGGCUCUGCAUUCUGCUGGUCAACUUGGCCCAGAAUUCUUCAAAGAUUCUGUUGAGCCCAGACUCCAGAUUGAGUUGCGGGCCCAGUGGACAUGAGGCCUCUGCCACCUUAGGUGUGAUGGCAAGCCCGACUUUGCUUCCGAUGGUGGUAGUGCAGAACCCAAGAUAACUGUGUGCCGGAUAUCCCUCACUGGCAGGGUGGGGGAAACGGUAGGGCUUGACCACUGAGAUUCUAGGGCAUGUUUUUAUAUCUUUGGAAGUGGUAACCACUUAGAUGCAUGUUUCUGUGUAUUGUGAAUUCAGUGCUUACUAUACUAACCUGGAGUAUCCUUUUUUUGGUAUAUAAAAACAAAAACUAUACAAGCUGUUGCUUGACACAACAAAAUUGUG